CUGAGGUGGGGGGUUGGAUGGGGGAGGUGUAGAACAUGCAGGGGGUGGUUGGUAGAGCUGUGCUGUGUGUGUUCUCUGUGCUUGGAGCUUUGUGGGGUCGUUGAGUAAUGCUGUGUGUGGGGCAGCAUAUAGGGAUGCUGUUAAUUGAUCUUAGAAUCAAUUAAUUCAUUUUAGGAUGAAUUAGGAUCUUAGGCAGCCCUAAUGCAUGGCUGGCUGUGGGCUCCUUGUUGUUUGAGCCCCUGCUUAGGAGCCUGGAGCAGUGCAAGUUGGGCCAGCUGAGCGCUGUGUGUGUGUGUGCAUCCUGCUGGGUGUAUUCCUGCUGCUCAGUCCCAGCACUAAGUGUAUAUCCUAUUGCAGAGCUUAAUAGCACCAUGCCGUGCCGCAGGGAGCUGCUGGUGCUGGGUGUUGUGCUGUGCUGGCUGCUGGUGCUGCUGUUGGAUCUGCGUGUGUUGGUGCUGCUGUGUGGGACCACAGCGAUGCUGGGCGGCUGGUUGGGCCCACGAGCCCUGAGCAGGCCGGGAUGGCAGCUGCGCUUGGAGCGCUUUGCUGGAUCCCUGCGGCCUGCAGCACCCAGACCUGAAGCAGAAAAGCAGCUGGAGCAGGAGAUCAGCAGCACCAUCAGGAAGGUGGUGAGGGACUUUGUCUCCUCCUGGUAUCACACUGUCAGCAGUGAGUGUGUGUUUGAGGCUGAGGUGGAGAAGGCCAUGGAGGGGCUGGCGGCUGAGCUGAGGCGGCGGAUGGUGCAGGUGGAUCGGCAGGCUCUGGCCCGUCGGCUGCUCCUGCUGUGUGGGCAUCACCUGCAGAGCUACCUGCAGGCUCUACAGGGCCAUGGGCCGCUGUGGCAGGAGUACCAUCAGAUUACAGGCCUGCACCCAGCCCUUAGCAGCCCUACAGCUGAGGUGAGCUAUGCCCGUGCUUCGGUGGAGCUGCUGCUUCGGGUGUUGGUGCCUCGACCCCACCUGGAGACAAGGACGGGUCACUUUGUGGUGGUGGAGCUGGUGGCCUGCAAUGUGCUGCUGCCGGCCAUCAGGAAGAUGGCUGACCCCGACUGGAUCAACCUGCUGCUGGUUGGGGCCUUCCCCAGGAAGGUGCAGGGUGAGAAGCCCAGCCCUGCAGCUCCAAUGCCGGAUGCUCUGCCCCUCACUGUACAACCAGCUGCUGCCCCAGCAGUUCCACUCCCGUCCACAUCACCUGGGCAAGAAGCAGGAGCUGGUGGUGAGGAUGGUGUAGAUGUACCAAGUGAGCCACCCUGCAGUGAGGGGGUUGUCCUGCGGCCACGAGGCCUGGGUUCACUGUUCCCCUAUGAGGGUUUGGAGAUGGACUCUCCAGGCCGGGACGUGGAGCUGCUGGCACCAUCAUCUGCUGGGGAUUUUCUUAAUGAGCCUCUCAUUGAUGUUCCUGUUCCACUGGAGGGAACAGAUGCUUCGGAGGAUGGGAUGGGUGACUUGGAGGAUGGCUGUACCACCAGCAGUGAUGCUGGUCUGCUUCUCCCCUCUGCUUAUGCUCUGGGCUCCUGCCCUGACAUCGAGAUUGAUCCAUUGAUGGAGACAGAGGAGGACAGUCCCAAGAAGUCCUCUGUGCAGCGGCCCUGUAGCUUGGGGAAAGAACUGGGGACACCAGAGGCCCUGCCACAAAGCCCAUCAGACCCUGGGCAGCCCCUUCCCCUGCUCUCAUCCUCCCCGACUGCUCCUAUCAGCACCUUCAGCUUUGAGCCCCUCAGCAGCCCUGAUGGACCAGUGGUCAUCCAGAACCUGCGCAUAACCGGCACCAUCACUGCUCGCGAGCACAGCGGGACCGGCUUCCACCCCUACACCUUGUACACCAUCAAGUAUGAGACAGCCCUGGAGGGUGAGGUUGCAGGCAGCCUUCAGCAGAUGGCCUAUCACACUGUGAACCGCCGCUACCGGGAGUUCCUCAACCUGCAGACCAGGCUGGAGGAGAAACCAGAGCUCCGCAAGUUCCUGAAAAAUAUCAAAGGACCAAAGAAACUGUUCCCUGAUCUCCCAUUUGGAAAUAUGGACAGCGAUAAAGUGGAAGCCAGAAAAAGUCUGCUGGAAUCUUUCUUGAAGCAAUUGUGUGCAGUCCCUGAGAUUGCAAACAGUGAGGAGGUGCAGGAGUUCCUUGCUCUGAACACCGACGCCAGGAUUGCAUUUGUCAAGAAGCCAUUUGUUGUCUCCAGGAUAGACAAGAUUGUUGUCAAUGCCAUCGUGGACACCCUGAAGACAGCAUUCCCCAGGUCAGAGCCCCAGAGCCCCACAGAGGAUCUGAGUGAGUCUGAAGUGGAUGGGAAAUGUCAGCAGGAUGGGAAGAAGGCAAACAAGUCCAGGCUGAGGUUCCCAUCCAGCAAAAUCACCCCAGUGCUGAGUGUGAGUGAAGCACACGACAGGAUUGUGUACUCUGUGAGGGAAGGCAGCACUGUCUCUGGCACCCUGUCACUGGCUGCUAUGGAAUCCUUCAUCCAGAAGCAGGAAAAGCUGCUGGAGGCAGCCCCCAGCAAAGCUCCUGAGGGCGAGGGGAGUGAAGAAGCCAAAGAAAAAUCUCUGCAGGAGGAUACAGAUGGGCUGAGCACAUCAGAGCAGGGAGCACAUCUGGACACGGAUUCUGAGACUGCUUUGGCUGACCUGGCCCUGGACUUGUUGCGUUUGCUGCUGAUGGAUCACUGGAGCUGGCUGGGCAUGGAGAAUAUCCAGAAGGUUUUCCACCUGCUCUUUGGGACCCUCAUUCAAAGGUGGCUGGAAGUCCAGGUGGUCAACCUGACCUGUACCCAGCGCUGGGUGCAGUACCUCCGGCUGCUGCAGGAGUCCAUCUGGCCUGGAGGAGUCCUACCAGAGGUGCCCAAACCAGCCAGGACAGAGGAACAGAAGAAAGCAGCCGCAGAGCAGGCCCUGCAGAGCCUGAUGGGGAUCUUGCCUAAUGUGGUCCAAGAAAUCCUUGGAACUGAUAAAUGUCGCAUGAGCUGGAGCCUGGUGCUGGAGUCCUUGGGCCAUCCAGUUAUAAACAGUGGUCAGAUUGUCCUGAGCAUCAGGCAGCAGUGUUGGCAGGACAUGAGAUGCUGUUUGCUUGUGUAAGUCUCACUGACUUCUGCUGCUGAGGAAAUACCCCCAAACCCACCAGUGGACGCUCACCCCAACCCUCACCCUCCCACCCCAAGGCUCCAAGUUGGUGCUUGGACCAUCCUGUACAAGGAUCAUCAGCAGGAGAGGGAUUUGCUGCAGGCUGUGGCAGGGCAAGACCAUUUUGGCUGGCAGACCCCUCAGAUGUGGGCUGUACAAUCAAUCCUGUUGGCAGGGAUGCUGGCAGCAUCCUCGGUGGCUCUGAGCAAUUUGCUGAUCGGACACAUCCCAUCGCCUUGCUACAGCAUUGCUUUGUGGUUGAACCUCUGGGGUGAACUCCUUGAAGAAAGGAGAGCUUCAUCACAUAUCUGCUGAUGGAUGGGUGUGUAUUUACCUUGGCCUUCCCAUCUCCUGGCUGUGGGUAGUUAUCUGAGUGAUGAAUUCAUCCAUGCAAGGACCUUUGGAUUGUGGGGGCAGAGGGGAAGCAUCUAUUACUUCGGUUUGGCACAGGGGGGAAGGAAUAACAGAGAGGAGCCGGGUGGUGGUUGCACAUCAAAGCCCAUUUCUUGGCCUAUCUCCUACAUUUCAUCUGGCCGUGGCGAAAUUGCGGGCACAAGGAGCUGUCUUGCACAUCCCAGCCUCGUGUCUGUGUCUGCAGGGGGAGAAAGGAAUGUCUUGAUUUCUGCAUGCUGGGUGUGCUGCUCUCCUCCCUGCCUACCCUGCCAGGGAUGCAUUCUUACAGGGCAGAGGGCCCUGGGAUCCCUCAGUCCCAGAUCACUGCAGUGCCAUCAGGAGCAGCAUUGGGGUGCGUAGGCACUGCCAGCAGUGUGGGAUCACUCGCUUUCCUCCUUCCCCCAUCCUCAAAGCUCUCAGCAUGUUCCCCAUGAGGGGACCUUUUGCCAGCGUUGUGCAACACCGGCUGUGUUAUCCUUGAACUUUGCUCAGCCUUUAUUCAGUGCCACCAGGGGAAAGAGCAUUGCUGGUUCCCGGUGCGCAUCGCUAUCAAAGCCCCAUAUCAGGCUUUGUUCUGUGUGCUGUCACCAUGUUGUCCCUGGGGCAGCAUCAGCACAGCCCUCCAUCCAUGCAGCUCCCUCAGCCCCUGGCUGCCAGCAGAGCUGUCUUGCAGUGCUCCAAAACACUGCUCCACCUCCCCAACACUGCUGGGUUCAGCUCUCCAAACUCUGCCUGUAGGUAUCACCCGUCAAACCGGGGUGUCUGUUGUGCUGACUCAAAUAGAAACUGGGAAUUCUCCCUCCAGCAACGUAUCAACCCAAGUGGGAAACACAAGACCCCUACAGACCCCUUUCUAUGCCAAAUUAACUCAUGCAUCCCCUCCCUGCCUGCCCAGCAGCCACCACAGUGCAUCUCUUGUGUGCAGACGGCCAUCCUCACCGUGGCAUGGUGCGGUGCUCCUCGUGGGGUGGACAAUGGCGUGGGCAUGAAUGGAGAAUGCUCUCCUCUGUGGGGCUGACAACAGCACUCUGUUCCCAAGCAAAUUGUCCUCGGGCUCCUGGGCACGUAGUGCUCCCACCCCACACAGCCCCUGCUGUGAUCCCACUGCUGGCUGCUUGGGUUUCCUUACUGCUCCUCCGAAAUGAGAAAAGACUGGAGGAGGUGAAACCAUCUCAGCCUACUUGACAGAGCAGAGAGUCCAAAUUGGCCACAAACCCUCAGGGCAUGGUGGGUUUCAGCACUUUCUCAUGGGUGUUGCUGAGAAGUAGGGUAGGAAUUGGAUGUGGGAGUCUAAGGUGGAAGUGAGGGGAAACACAGACUUUGAAUGACAGAAUAUGUGAAGUGACAGAGCCCUUUUCUCCCUUUCCUACAUUACUUUAAAUGAAGAAGUUUUGAGGAGUGUCCAAACAUAGACAACUUCAGCCCAAAUGGAAUUUUAUCUCCCCCCCCAAAUUUAUGAGCCACUUAAGAAGAGAAGGCAGCAAGAAGAAACUGAAAGCCAGAUGUAACCAUAGCGUUGAAUGGCUUUUAGCUCAGUGUCCGAUUGCGUAGGGGCUCUCACUGGGAACAUGGAGGUUUCUCCAAUAUCUGUAAUAGGGCAUUGAGGCUUCUGUGAACUUUUGGUCACUUGGUGCCUGGGCUGCUGCCCAUCUCCAAUGGGAGUGUCUGACCAUCUCGUUCAACUCUUGCUAUCAGCUGCUGGAAUGAGGAAAAGGGAGCAGAAAUUCCAUGGAUCACCACAAGCAGCACAGAGGGCACAUCCUGAAAGCACAAAGAGUGAACUGAUAAGCAGUGCCCCAUGCACACAGCCACACACUGGCACCAGCUAAUCUGCAAGCACAAGCCCACCUUUAUGCCUUCUGCCACCCCAUCUCCUUUGCUCCCAAAGGGACCAAACUCCCUUGCCACUAACACAGGGGUGUCCAUGCACAGGACAGGCAGAGCAGCCCCUCUUGUCCCCCUGCCCUGCACCCCAUACAGCAUUAGGUCCUGGUGCUCUCCAGCGUGUUUAACUCCACUCUGUGUUUUGCCAGAGCCUGUUAUUAAGAAAUAAGGCUCUGCCUUUUUAUCAUUCCUCUGAGCGUCUGUCUGAUGUCAUUCUGUCUGGCAACCAAGCGAUCAAAAAGGAGCUCCCCUGGGAGAAAUUUCUCAAACAAACAGCCAGCAAGAAAAAAAUAAUACCCCAUUAAAUAUAAUAAAACACAAGAAACCACAGAGUCUCCCUGAUAAAUGGAAAGGCUGUGUAACCUAGACUGCAAACACACAAACCUUCUCCUACCACCCUGUGCAGGGCGGCUGCGUGCCCUGUGCUCACCUGGGGGAUUUUCCUUAACCAAAGCUGUGUCACAGCCUGGGCUCACGUCAGCAGCGGUUCUGGCUCUUUGUGUUUUUAAGCAGGUUGGUUUUUCACUCUUGUAUAAAGCACAUGCAAAGCAAAUUCUGGCUCUGCUCCUACAUACUCCUUUCAGGGAUGACGAACACCCCGCUGCCAAUCCUUUGGAGCCCAUGGGUUCUAGUUUGGGCUGCUCAGAUUUCUCUUCCUCCCUUCUCCCUCCUUCCUUCAUUUCUUGUGGUGUUGGAGCCCUGCUUGCAGCAAUGGGCAAGGCUGAAGGAAGUCACAGAGUCAUAGCAUCAUUUGAGUUGGACAGGACCCUUAAAGGCCAUCUAGUCCAACUGCCCUGUCAGUGCAAUCGAAGCAAAGCUCCCAGAUGGGGGAACGAGCCCCUUGAAUGCCAAGAUAUUUCACAGCCACAAAAAGGACGAAGCAUUGACUCCAGUCUGGAUUUGGAAAAUGAAGACAAGAGGAAUUUCUUGUUCAGUCUGUCAGAACAGAGUGUCUGAAAAGGAGCUGUCGUGGAACAGAGCGCGUGCAGUGAUAACAGCCGCCCAUCCGAGCUGGAUGGCAGCUGACUGCUCUUGGAUCCAUCAUGCACACAUCUGUAGCUGAGAUCCUCCUUUCCAAGGACAGGAGUGAGGCUGGUUGCACUCAGAGCAAUGAAAAGAUAAAUUCAAGCUAAAGCAGUGCACACGUUUAUAUGUUCAUGAUGGGAACUGAGCUGUGUAGGGAAGUGGCAAUUUUGCCAUGCUCCUGCUGCACUUGCUGCAGGUGUGGCAUUCACCCCAAGCCACACGUGGAACCCUGUUGGCUCUGCAGAUGGAGGUGAGUCCCUGCCUCUUCCCACCAUCUGCUGCUAUGGGCUUCUCGGCUCCUGUCUUGCAGGACUGCUAUCUCCCACGCUUGGCUCAGGGAGCUGAAAGGUUUUUCAAUCAUCUGCUAAUGAUAGGAGAGCAGCUUUUAUUCCCUCUCUCCCCCAAUCUUGGCAGGAAAGGUGGAAUGUGGAGCUCGAAAGGAGCAGCCACCUUUCAGGCCAACAGCUGCUUUGGGGGAUGGGUUAGAUAAAUGUGCUGGGUUUCCAAUCAGCCCCACACACCCCAGUCAGAAGGCUUCACCAGAGCACGGCGUGGGGGAAUGGCUGCUGAUAACACCGUGUCCAUCCCAGCCAUCCCCACAAACAUCCCUGGAGGAACCCACACCACCGGAGGGGACUGCAGUGACUCACAACCCGACCCGACCCCAAUGGGCAGCGGUGCAGAUGGCAGUGGGAAAACCAGGUCAGCGUGCAUUGGAAAGAGCUGAAAGUCAGAGGGAUCUCCUCCAAACCAUCUCUUGCUGCUUUUGGAUGCUGGGAGGAACCAAUUCUGCAUUGAAGCUCUUGGCACAAGGCAGGACCGAGCACAGAUCCCCCUUCCAACACAUGCACGAGAGCAGAGCGAACCAUUCGCACAGAAAACAGGUGAUAAAUCACGGGGCAAUUGAUUCAAACCAUUCCAGGGAAUGGGAAACACAUGGACGGCCUUUCUAAUUAACUGUUUGAUAUGGCUGCGGUGAGUUUGGGUGUAGUUUCCAAUGUUUUGCAUUUGGCUUGUCUCAAAGCUCUCCAUGGUAACUGCAGUUUACCGGAAAGUGAGAAAAUCCUGCCUUCAAGAGAGUUGAAGUGACUUGUUACAGUUCAGCUCAACCACAAUAAAAAAGCAAAACAAAAGCAAAAAGUAAAUACAGUGUUUCCUCUGUGGGAACGUUCUCUUUUCUCUUUCUCUUUCCAGCUGGAAAAACACAACAAAAUCAAAGGUCCUUCUGCUCCAUCUCCCAUCUGUAGGUGCUGGUGGGUUGCAGUGCGUUGUCCUCCAGGGUCUGCAGCUCAGCACAAGGGCUGACAGCACAGGGACACCAAAGCCUCUCCAAUGGGAGACCAUGGGGUCAGCAAGGUGACCAGGGGACACUCACCCCAUCCCAUCUCAUGUCCAGCCAGAUUCUCCCAUAUCCAUUGGCCGCGUGCAGCCGGCGCAUUAAAAUCUCAUUUAAAAAGGAAUCAAGGUUUAAUCCAUCUGUGUUUGAAAAUGGUCUUUUCCCAUAUCCUGCUUUUGGCACAGCCUCCCAACCGGGGCAUUGCACCUCACCCCAUAAUGGGCACAGCUGCUGCAGCCGGGUUCCCACCCCGGCACCAAGCGGCCAAUGGAGCUGCCAUGUUCAUAUUUUAUCUUUUAUUGGCUUUUUUUUCCCCCUCUUUCCCCCUAUUUUACCCUUUCUGCACCACGACUCCCUGGGGCCCCAGCAGAACAUCUGGCCAAGCCGCUUCUGGUUCCAUUUAUUGGCAGAUAAUUUAUUUGUGGACCAGAAGGGAAAAGGCAACCCAAGCAUUCAGUGUAGUAUUGGUAGGACCAUUGGUGAUGCUGCUCAAGAGCUACUUAGGUGUGAUCCAGACCAAAGGAAGUCAAACACAGAUCUCCCCUUUGGAUCCAGAGCUGUCAGAUCUCAGUCCAAACACACGGAGGGAAAUCAGUGGAAUCCACGCUCUGUGAAUAUUAUUGGUAUUAUUCAUUUGCUGGGAACAUUUGGGGGUAUUCAUUCCUUGCACACAUUGCCAGAGCAGCUCCCACUUGGAGAAGGAAAUUAAAGAGUGCAAGCCACUGCUUCUCACUUUUCUGUCCUUUUCUUUUUCGUGCCCUUUUUGCUCCCCAUCCCUUUCUUGCAGUGUAUGAGCACAGAGUAAAGGCAGCAGCAUCACAGCUCACAGCACACGAGUGCUUUGAGGCAGGACAGCCUUCCCAAGCACCCUCCCCAUUGCUUAUUUGUGUUGCAGCAGUGAGCUCUACUCAUUGCAUGUGAAAGGUGUCAGCAGGCUGCUCUCCUAUCAGCAGGUUCAUGGAGUUCUCUUAAGCACAUCCAAUGGCCGUGGAUCCUAUUCAAUAUCCCCCAUGUUUGGCUAAAAUUAUCCAGCUUUCAAAAAUAUCAAUGGCUUUUUUUUUUUAUUCCUUGCACAACCAAAAGCAUUGGGUUUAUUUUUUCUUCGAAUCAAAACCCAAAGGCGUUUUCCAAGGAAGCAGAUUGGGGGGAAAAAAAAAGAAAAAAAUAGUGAAAAAAUGUCACAAAUUCAGCAGCCAAAAGCAAUGGAGCCCUCUCCCCUGGGAGGAGUUUCAUUUACUUCUGGCACUGCCACGCAUACCAGCGGUCAGCCCAUUGUACACGUGGCUAAUCACGGUGUAGAGAGUGAAACAGGACUCUUUGCAUUGACUUUUGGGAACAACAGCCCGAGCCUGAAUGCUUCCCUGCACUGAAACACCUUCAUGUGUGUACAGUGCAGCAUCCAACAGCUGAGGGGGUUCUGAGCUGUCUGGCAGCUGCUGUUCCCCCAUUUCUGGGUGGCAGCUGGAACUGAUCUUUACAUGCUGCUCAAUGUGGGCUCACCAUCCCUGGGGGUGUUCCAGAUGUGGGGAUAUGGCACUGAGGGAUGUGGGCAGCAGUUGGAUGUGAUGUUCUUAGAGGUAUCUUCCAAUCUGAAUGACUCCAUGACCCUAUUUCCAUAGACUCAGCCUGCGUGCCAACCUCUUGGACAGGUUUUAGAUGGGAUGAUGGUGGGACCCCCAGCCCUUCCAUAGGGCUGACCAUUCAGGCACAAGCUUAGUGCCAGCACAAGCUGCCUGGGGGCAAGGCAUGCUGAGCUGCCCGCCUUGCUGGGCUCACACAGAGGCUUCCUUCCCUCCUGCACCACCCGUGCGUGACAUCAGAUCUCACAGCUCGGGCUCUCAUGGGGCUUUUUCAGCUGUCAUGAGAUCAGCUUUUCCUGCUUGUGACCGAAUCCAAACAAUUAACAAGAAAAAAAAUAAAAGAAAAAGAAAGAAAUCCAAGCCAGGAACAAAGUCACCAAAUGCUUUCACGGCUUGGUAGGGCUUUGGGAUGGGUUUCAGCCCUGCUCUCGUUUGCUUUUCUGUUUUGACAGCGGAGGAAUCAGUGGGACAGCACAAUAAACAGAGUGUUUACAGAAAGCAGCUUUUUAUCAGCAUCUGAUGGGUGUUUGUUUGGAGAAGCUUUAGCUCUAACCCAUGGGGGAUGCUGACUUCUGCAGUUUGCUGCCCCCAUUAAGGAUUUAGUGAUGUGGAAUGAUUGAGAGGUCUGGGUUGUGUCCUUUAGUCUCCCCUCAGCACACAGAAGACGGCGAUGGAUGCUCAUUGGGAUGCUGGGACCCAGGGCUGGGGCUGUCACAGCCACUAACUGCAAUGGUGCUUCCUUCACAGGCUCUUCCUGCAUUUUAAAGUCCUUAACCCAUUUUAUUUCCUGGGAAAGCAUCUGGCUUUUAGCUCUGGGUCUCUCCAGUCUGUCAUGUCACACAAAUACACAAACAUCCCUCUUUGGGUGAUGGAUUGGGGCUGCACUUUGGCUCGGAUCACACAGCCCAGAGUGGCAGAGGGGCUUUGAAGUACUGCAAGUUUCUCAUUCCCUUAGUGCCAGAAGAACAGCCCAUGGGAGAGAAAUCCAUGCUGGGAAACACAUCUCUUGGCUUAUUUACAGUGGUCCAGCAUCAUCCCAUAUAACAUGGCACACCCCACUAAUGCAUGCAAAGCGCUUCCAAAGCCGUGCAAUGCCAGCUUCAUGCAUGCACAGGUGGCUUCCACAGCCGAAAGCCCUCUUGCACUGCUUCCCCAGCAUCUCCAUCCUGCACACCAUGGGGAUUCAACAGCAGUUUGCAGGGUCCAGGACACAGCAGCCUGUGGUCGGUGUCCCAUUGUGAGUGCUGGGUCCCAGGACCUUUUGCCUUCCAUGUGAGAAAACCCCACUAGGAAAAAUAUGAGCAAGCACUCCGAUGAUUUUAUGCUGAUUUACUGGCUGAAGCUUUAAAUCAGCACUUGUCAGAGGCUUGAGUUACAUGUCUGUGCCGGAGAUUGAUGGGGCCAGCUGCCAGCACGCAUUACCAAGGAGCAAACCUGAGCUGAAAGCAUUGUUUUAGGCCUCGGGGUGAGCUAAAAGCAUUCAGGUGAUUUAUACAGGAGGAAACGGCUUUAUGUCCUGUUCAACUGGAGCCCCGAACGCUGCCAGCAGAGACCUGCAAAGUCUCCUGGUUUUAAUCUCGCACUCGGGAAGGACACCAUCAGUUUAAUGAAUUUAGGCUCCAAACUCCCCAUUAGGAUGAGUUUUAUGGGUGAAGUCCUGCCCUCAAUAGAGCAAGUGGGACUUUGCCUUUGUGCACUUACCCAGCACGUUCUGCUCACUGUUUUAUUCAUCUCACCUCUCACCGUGCUUUGGGUACACCCUGUAUAAUGCCCCCCCUGUGCUGCAUCACAAGGAAGGAGGCAGGCAGUAAGCAAGGUGCCAGCAGAUGGUGCUCCGUAAUUUGCAGUGUCCUCGCUGGGUUUUAGAUGCACAGUAAGAACAGAUCUCUGCUUCCCCCAGACCCGACUCCUGCUGCUUGUUUGCAUCCCUUGGAUUUUAGUUGUUCUGAAAACAUAGGAGAGGGAAAAUAACAUGAAGAAAUCAAUUGCAGCUCAACUUCAGAAGAUUGUAUUGCACACCAGCAACCACUAACACCUACACAUCUCUCCUUGUCCCUGCUCCAUCCCUACCUCCCUUAACUCCUUGUCUGCUUGCUCCCAGGUUGUCCUGAGAUGGAAUGAAUUGAACUCUUUCACUUCUCAGGCUUUGGGUGAGUGUUUCACAGUGCUCAGAUAUUGCCAAGCAGGGUGAAGGGGAUGCAGCACAGGGCAUCCCAUCCCCUGGGCAUCCCGUCCCUCCUGAGGGUACCAUCAUCCCAAGGUACCACCAUCCCUAUUGUACCACCAACUCCAGGCUACCACCGUUCCUGGGGGAACAGGCAUCCCUGGGGGUACCAUCAUCCCUGGCUGGCAGCACAGCAUGGGCAGCAGGUGCAGGGAUGGAGGCAGGAAACUGUUUAUAGAGCUUAGGAAAAGCUGAGGUUUCUGGCAGGUUCCUGAGACGCUGGGUUUGGCCCAGGGCUCCGCUGUAUAAAUUGUGGGAUUAGAGUCAAACAUGAAACCGGAGCAAAGAGGCCAAAGGCAGAGCUGGCAGCUGGAUGGGAGGAUUUUUUUCUCCGCACAAGCGUGUCCAAGGGAUGCUUUUAGAGGAGAGAAGGGUAAGAAAGAAAGAGAAGCCAGCAAAACCAGGGUGAAAACAACCCCAAAAGUAAUAGGGAUGCUGCAAGAAGGUAGCAGUGAUGUGAAUGCAGAGGCUUCUUGGUGGGAUGCAUUUACAUAGGAAGGUUGCAGAGGGGGUGGGAAAAGUCACCAUCUCCCUGUGUCACACUGGGUGCUCCCUGACCUGGCCCCAGUCCUUGCUGGCACCCAGCACUGCCCUGCUCCUGGGGUUGUGAUUUUAUCCCUGGUUCUGCUCGAGGUGCUGCUUUCUGAGCUCACAGCCGUGCUCUGGGCUGACCUCCCGCUCCCCGUGCUGUUUGGUUUGGAUUAGCUGACUCAUGGCUGUUUGGUGGGGCCAAGGCAAAAACACAGCCAUCCGUGCAGGGCACAGAGGGAGAUCUUGUCCACAAAGCACUGAUGCAAUGUGAGGUUGGCAGGAGAGCAGUGUUUUCCCGAGAGCCUUAGCAAAACCUGUGAUUUUUCAUAGAAAGCUCCCUGCUUGCUGUAGGUAUCUCCCAGCACCAAGGGGAUACACAGAUUUCCAACUUCAGCAACGUUAUCUUCAUCCUCCCAGCUUUUGUUUUCCCUAAGCAGCCACACAGACGUGCUUGGGAUGGGAGUCAGACAUGGUCUGAAUAGACACGAGGAAUUCAAGCUGGGAAAGUCAUACCAUGUGCACGAAGCAGGGCUACUCAGUGCCUGUGCUGCCUUCUUGCUGUCAUGGGCAUCUACUAAAGACCCCAUCCUUUCACUCCUCAGCCCAUCAGGAGUCACACAACCCUCCAGAAUGGGUGUCAGCUCCAGAUCUCUCCUGCUCCUGGCUGUUGGAAAGGCAUCCCUGUGUGCUCAUCACUUUCUCCAUUUACAAGUUCUUUCUCUAACCUCCCCAGCCAGGAUCCUGCUCUUUCUCCUCCAUCACCAGCACUGCCCAUCCAGCUGCAAGGGGCUGGAAGCAUUGGGGUGAGCUGGGAGGCUCAGAUGUGAUGCAGCCCCAGGCUGUUCAACUUCCUUCUCUUUCCCAAGUUUCUUCUCAGUCCCGGGCUUGGUCCCAUCUCACGGUGGGAAGAAGGGUGAAGCAGCAAGAUUUGAAUCAGACCCAACUUUAGGCCCGGAGUUGUUCCCAGUAACAUUCCUUCCUGCAAACCAGAGUGCCGGUUCAAAGCAGAUGGGUUGGUAGCACUCCCAAAUUCCUCGUUGUGCUGGAAUUUAUGCAAAAUGUAUAGAAUUAAUGAGCACAGGGGAAAGGCACUUGGGCCGUCCUCACGUUCCUGACCUCUGUGCCACCGCUUCACUCUGCUGUAUGUCACCCAGUGCUCUUGUCAGACAAUGUCCCAUUGAUUGCCCGAGGGGCUCAUGGCACUGGGAGGGCUGUGCUGACGCUCUGCAGCGUGGCCGGGCACUGCUGGGCCAUAGGGAACACUUUGUACAAUGCCCAGCCUGUGUCUGUUGGUGCAUCACCAACUCAGUGUCACUGGGGGCAACACAAGGGUCUCAUGGUGCAGGGGUACAGACAUGCCUUUCUCGGGAUGAUGAAAGUCAUUGAUUUAUUGCCUUUUCUCACUGGAAACAGAAUGCCCUUUAAAAAUAAAGCCUGAGCAGCACUGCCCGCCCCCCCUCACCCUGCUGCAAACCCUGAGGGUGAUGUGACCCAUCUGGAGGAGACCCCAGUCCUUUGCUCCCAGGGCAUCUAUCAGGAUUUCUUCCCAUAGGCAACAUCCCUAGAUUCCUGUUUUCCAUCUGAGUUUUGGGGGAAGAAGAGCUGAAUCAGGAAACUCCUGGCCCAGCUGCAGUGUGCAGUGCAGGGCAGGAUCCCAAUCUGUUGCUGGGCAGGGAACCAGCGUGGCCAUGAGGUGUAUGGCAGCUCUAAGGGCUGGGAUCCCCAUCCCUAUUCUGUCCCCAGGGCCAUGCAGAUGCUUUGCUGCCCCGUGCCACGCAGGGAUGCUGCUUAGUUGUGUUUUACUUAACAUUUAAUACCAUGUUAUUUCUAUUUAAGCCUCAUUCCAAAACAGAGCCUAUAAGUGAUAACAGAGCAAACAGACCUUCUGUCCCCUCUCCCUCCCUGAGGAAAUAUUUUUAGUUCUCGUAAACACAAACCAUUUAAGCACUUGAGAGCAUCCCAAGGGAUGCAGCCUUCCUCUCCAUCCAUUGCAGCUUACAGCACAACCCCACAUCACACCCUGAUUUCUGGGCUCAGGCCCCAUUGCAGGCACAGCUCUGCAAAGCAGGUGCUGAACUGGGAUUUACUUUGAAAGGAAACCCAAAGGAACAAGCAGUUCAGAGCUCAGCUGCCUUUCCCACAAUGUUACAUAGCUCUGAAAAAAUCUCAUCCCUGUUGCUCCUGCUCCCAAAUGCAAUGCAGGAGAUGCUGAGCAGGUGACUGGUGAGCACCAAAAUGCAUCUCUCCACCAUCUGCUCCCAGCUUUGGUCACAAAAUCACUGCCCUUCUCACCAAAUGUUCCUAAAAAUUCAUGGAAAAAUUCAUCCACAGAGUGUGCUGAGCACAAGAUGUCCCCAGGAAUGGUGACAGCCAAGAAAAGGCUGGAGGAAGCCACCAGUGCUGGGAAAGGAAACUGGGAAAUGCUUUGAUGAGAGCACAUAUGGUGCGUGCUUGGAUGCAGCAGUCCUCCAAAGAAGCUGGGGACUGGGACGUGGUUUGGGACAGAAAGAGACUGUGGGACCUGGGGUGGCUUUGUAGGGCUGGGCUGGCUGGGGAGCUGCAGCCUGGGGAAGGGGCUCAGUGGCACUGGGAUGGAGCGAGAUCAGAGCUGGGCUCACAUCCAAGGUUCAGGGCAGGGCACAACUGCAAAUUUCCCAAGCUACCCAAACUCCUGGGCCUGAAGCUCUGCAGCCUCCUGGGAUCAGAUUCCCAUGACGAAUUCCCAGCUGUGGAGAUAGAAAGUGUCCCAAAAGGGGCAAAGUACCAUCUGCUGAGCAGCCUCGUUCUCAGGCUAUUUGGGGUAUUUUUACUUCUGAACAAAGCAGAGAGCCAGGAGGAAUUUCACCCUGUUCCAGACUCCUGUUUUCCUUCUCCCUUCCCCUGCAGUGAUGCAAGCCCUAUCCAACAGCAGCAGCUCUUCCCACCAUCCUGUCCCCAAAUCCCUCUUGCUGUGAAGGCGUCCCAUUGCUAUCACGUGCAAAAGGGCACAAACCUGCGCUCUGCUUUCUCCCUCCACUAAGUCUAGAGUGCACUGGGAAAUGAUUUUCCCAAUUCAACCCAAUAUGUGACUUAAAGCAUACAUAGGACAUGCCAGGAUGGUGAUCCCUUUGCAGGGCAUGGUCUGUAGGUGCUGUGUGGUUUUCAUUCAGGCCACAGGAGCCAUUUGAGUGCUUCUUCUGAGCCUGCUAUGAGCAGCCCCAGUGCUGAACUAAUGUUAUCUUAGCAAAUGGCUUUGUUAUGGCUGUGGGAUUCCUCACAAAGCAGCAGCCCUGACGCAGGGGGAAAUCUUUCAUUAUCGGCUCUGAGGAGCUCUCAGAUGGGAGAUUAGGGGAAAGGCACACCAGUCCCAUUCCCAAAGAAGGAAAACGUUGAGUCUCUUUGCUGAGAGGUGGGGAUGGCUGGGUGAUGCUCAGUGCAGCCCCAACCACACGAGUUCCAUCAGACAAACAACAGCACCGCUUCUCCUUUCCUCUUUUUGUUUCAUCCCCAACCCCACUGUGUCCACUGCCCACAUCCCUCAGUUCCACAACCCCACAGCUCUGGAACACUCCCAGGGAUGCUGACCCCACCACUCCCUGGGCAGCUGGGCAGUUCAGCAUUGCUCUUAUCCACAGAAGCAGAAGACACAGCCAUGCUUGCAUCUCCCACCCUACUGGCAUCCAUUGGCUGCAUCCAUCCAUGCUUUAUCAACAUCUCCAGCCUCAGUGCCACGAGGGAAAUGUCAUUGGGUUUUUAUCUCCUCUGUGCUCCGGGCUUAUCAGUGAUUUGUUUCAUUUAUGACUUUCCUUGUUCAUUUUGUCACUUGGUUUCCUCAAUCCUUAGGGCUGCUGAAAGGAGACAACGGAGUUUGAAACAAAUAAAUAAAUAAAGGCAAAUAAUUAUCAUUUGUUCUCUGCAACCAGCCAAGUAAGAGUCUCCGGGGAGAGGGUGGGAUUCGCCUCUGUUUGUUUAUUCAAGGGCGAUAUUAAGUAGGAACAAUGCAAACAGGCGGAAUGGUUUUAACCCUUACAGAUCCCCCCCCAUCAUCAUCAUCUCCUGAACUCCCAGCUGUGGGGAGCUGUAAAAUCACCCCUAACAACUGACGGCCUCCCUCAGGGCAGCUUUAGGAGGUAGCGCUCUGUUUUCCAGCCGUGUUGGAUGCUCCGUUCCCUCUUGGAAGGUUCAGAGAAACCAUUUGGAUCCCGGUCUGUCUGACACAGCACUCUGGCUUCUCGACAGAGCUCGUUCCGUGCUUUUUGUUGUUGUUGUUAUUAUUAAUUCUUUUUCUUUCUUUCUAAAAGGAAACAAAAGCAUCGCCUCCCCCGCACACGCACGCGACGCGCUAAUUGGAGCAGACAUUGCUUUUCCAGAGCUAAAUAGGAACCAUCCCACUGCAGGCAGCCCCCAGAUUUCAGGUUGCCCCCCAGAGGGGCUGCACCCACCCCAUCUUUUCCCACAGAUGGAGGGGUUUGAGCGUUCCCCUUCAUUUUUGCCAGCUCCCUUCUCCUUCACACACAGCCCCUGUGGUUCAAACCUUGCCUCGUGCUUCUUCCCCUUCCUAUGAAGCAAAUUCCUCCUAUUUUGUUCCCACCCCACAAGGCUGACGUGGAUUGAUGGUGUUUGUGGUGUCCCAAAGCCAGGAUUUCCCCACGUGUUGUGGGAUUAGGGAUUACCCAGAUCCAGCGCCCACCCCAAAGCACCACUCAUUUCCCAAAUCCCUUUGCCCUUUAGCUUGGCCUUAAACCACAAAGAAAAACCCAACGCCACCACUGGGGCCAAGUGACCAGUUCAGCUUUCCCAUGUAAUGCAUUAAAUACGGAGCCAGUGAGGGCAAUGGGAACUGGGGGUGAUGGGUUGGUGGUUUCUGCUGGCCAUGGGGGUGAUGGCACAUGCAGUUUGGCCCUGUAAAAACCCCAAACUGGUGAUGUAGCUCACAGAGAGAAAGGGAACAACCCAAAGAAUUCCUUUUCAAGAAGGAGCCCAUUCCCCACAGCUUCAUACAACUGAAAAUUAAAGAAAGAAAGAAAAGAGCUCCCUGAACAAAAGAGCAGCGUUUUCCUUUCUCCCUAUCUCUUCUCAGGGCUGUGCAUUACCUGUGCCCUGGCACUCAUGGAGCAUCUCUGCUGCUCUGUGAUGCUCCAGGGAAGCAGAUAAGCCAGCGUUCAGGUCCAGGUGGGAUAACAGCUGCUCUGUGUUUGCAGAGCGAGGCAGUAGGGGCUGCCAAGCACGUCUCCCUCUUGAGGUUUCCCUUGUUUUCAUUCCUUCGCCUUGUUUCCUUUUCUCUGCCUUUGGGAUAAAACAGCACCAUCCAGGUUCUCCUUGUCUUUCAGUGCCUGUUUCCCUCCGUGGUUGUUUGUGGGGUUUUUUUGGCAUAACAUAUCCUCACCUCAAAAGAAAGUGCUGAAUGCAGGGGUUAAUGGGCACCUUGGGACUGCCCCGGUCAAGGCAGUGCCUCACCAUGGUGAUACCCCAAAACUCAUCACCUCCUCCUAAAUCCAGAGGGGUCCCACAGGGGAAUGAAGCCUUCAGGCUCCCUACUUCCAUACCUCAAUGCACUUUCCCCUCCAUCCCUGCUCCAAAUGUCCUGACCACAUCCACACAACACAUGGGGCUGCUUCUGGACAGCAUGUGUCACUGGGACCAUGGAGAGCCACGAGGAUGCAGUCCCUGCAGUGACCAGGGUUUUGCCAACACGUGUUUCUGCUAUUCAGAGCCUGCACACUGCACUUGGAAUGCAGUGCAAACAAUAUGGCAUUGCAUAAAAGGCCAAAGCAGCACAGGGACACUGAGACACGUCCCCAAGUGCCUGGUGGCCAUGGGCAGCAUGCUCUGCUUUCUCACAGCAAUAUCUGUGAGUGCAGAGCAGGCAGCAGCUGUUACUGUCACUGCAAGUAAUUACCCUCAUGCCUGGAUCGCAUGCAGUGCUGUUACUUGCAGGACUCCAAAACAUCUGCCCUUCAGGGCUCGUAUUUCCAGAGCUGCCAAUCCAACACCUCUCCCUGGUGCUAAACUCAUUUACAAGGAGGAAAAUAAAACACUUUAAAAAAUAAAUAAUCAAGCCACAUUAAAUAACCCUUUGGGAGCCCUUCUGCCCCCCAGGCUGAACUUGAUAUUAAUUGCACCAAACCCAACAGCACUGUCCCCAGGAGGGGCUGGGGGCUCAUACAACCAUGCUGCCAUUUCCAGGUGCUUUGCCUUGCUAAGGGCUGCAGUCAUUAGCAGCCACCCGAUGGGCUCAGCUCAUGCCCUCACCUCCACACACAGUGCUGACAUAGGCAGCCAAUGCCAGCCUUCUUCUGGAGGUGUUUGCAUGCAUAGAAACAUCCAUGUGGAGCCUUGCAAAGAGCUUUGCCUCAGUGCAUUCCCAACCUGCUGCCCUUCAGCAAGGAGGUGAUUCUGUUGGCCCUACGUGCGUGAGCUCUGCUGCCAGAUUCCAGUUGGCCGGACUGAUUUUGGCACUGGUUGAGUUGUAUAAUUAGAAAAAAUACAGGGGAAG